rnacentral:lncRNA from 1 species
UGGUGUUUAUGGAAUUUUUAAACAAAAUGUUUAUGAAGAUGGAACCAGGACUUGCUUCAUAAAUUAUGUCCUUCUACUGGCACCUCUGCUUUUCCUCAGUGUACAACCACCGUUCAGGCCUCUGCUACACUAAACAAACAAACAAACACUCCGACUUUCUCAACCUUCUGCUCUCUGCUUUCUCUCUCUGGUGCCAAGAAAAAUCUCUGUGUUCUGUCUGUGCUUCCUCGCCUCCCUCUGACUCCAUAGGCCUUUGCAGUUUGAUGUUUAUCUCUACCACAAUGAAAUCACCUCUCAGAGGGGGCUGGCAGUGGCUGAAGCCGUGGUUAAAUCCAGCAGCCUGCUCAUCCUGUCUUUACCUUCUCUUCUGUCAUUUUUACUGUUUUCGCUCUUGCUCCUCUCAACAUGAUUCUGCCUUGGGAUGUUGAGGAUUUUGUAUUCACCCAUAAGUUCCUCUCCUCUCUGAGCUUUUGCUCUUCCCUCCUUUCAGAGGGUUUCUGACUUCUUCCCACUCCUUAAUCUGAGAGUCUCAUUUAUUUUCUUCCUUUGUCUUUCUUCCUCUGAAACUUUCAUCUAGACCCAUGGCUUCAACUUAAAGCCUAACAUAGAUAUAUUUGGUCAGCAAAGCCUUUUCUGAACUGGUGUGAAUUAUAACAAAGAUCUCCUUCCCUCCAAAGCACACCUUCCUGGUGGCAGGAGCUCCAGCUUGGCCACGAAUUGGGAUGAGGUCAGGCCCCCCUCAACCUGAACACUGCUCAGGCAGUGGCCUCACUGGUUAGGGUCCCAUGUCUCAGGCACUCCAGUGCUUUGACCUCCACAUUUUUCCCUCACUCAAACCAAUGCUCUUUUAUCUCCUCCCUUGCUGCCUAUAUA